GACGAACGCUGGCGGCGUGCUUAACACAUGCAAGUCGAACGAUGAAGCCUAGCUUGCUAGGUGGAUUAGUGGCGAACGGGUGAGUAAUACGUGAGUAACCUACCUUUAACUCUGGGAUAAGCCUGGGAAACUGGGUCUAAUACCGGAUACGACCAAUCUCCGCAUGGGGUGUUGGUGGAAAGCGUUAUGUAGUGGUUAUAGAUGGGCUCACGGCCUAUCAGCUUGUUGGUGAGGUAACGGCUCACCAAGGCGACGACGGGUAGCCGGCCUGAGAGGGUGACCGGCCACACUGGGACUGAGACACGGCCCAGACUCCUACGGGAGGCAGCAGUGGGGAAUAUUGCACAAUGGGCGCAAGCCUGAUGCAGCGACGCCGCGUGAGGGAUGACGGCCUUCGGGUUGUAAACCUCUGUUAGCAGGGAAGAAGAGAGAUUGACGGUACCUGCAGAGAAAGCGCCGGCUAACUACGUGCCAGCAGCCGCGGUAAUACGUAGGGCGCGAGCGUUGUCCGAAAUAUUUGGGCGUAAGAGCUUGUANNGCGGUUUGUCGCGUCUGCUGUGAAGGCCGGAGCUUAACUCCGUGUAUUGCAGUGGGUACGGGCAGACUAGAGUGCAGUAGGGGAGACUGGAAUUCCUGGUGUAGCGGUGGAAUGCGCAGAUAUCAGGAGGAACACCGAUGGCGAAGGCAGGUCUCUGGGCUGUAACUGACGCUGAGAAGCGAAAGCAUGGGGAGCGAACAGGAUUGGAUACCCUGGUAGUCCAUGCCGUAAACGUUGGGCACUAGGUGUGGGGAACAUUCCACGUUUUCCGCGCCGUAGCUAACGCAUUAAGUGCCCCGCCUGGGGAGUACGGCCGCAAGGCUAAAACUCAAAGAAAUUGACGGGGGCCCGCACAAGCGGCGGAGCAUGCGGAUUAAUUCGAUGCAACGCGAAGAACCUUACCAAGGCUUGACAUAUACUGGACCGCAUCAGAGAUGGUGUUUCCCUUCGGGGCUGGUAUACAGGUGGUGCAUGGUUGUCGUCAGCUCGUGUCGUGAGAUGUUGGGUUAAGUCCCGCAACGAGCGCAACCCUCGUUCUAUGUUGCCAGCACGUUAUGGUGGGGACUCAUAGGAGACUGCCGGGGUCAACUCGGAGGAAGGUGGGGAUGACGUCAAAUCAUCAUGCCCCUUAUGUCUUGGGCUUCACGCAUGCUACAAUGGCCGGUACAGAGGGUUGCGAUACUGUGAGGUGGAGCUAAUCCCUAAAAGCCGGUCUCAGUUCGGAUUGGGGUCUGCAACUCGACCCCAUGAAGUCGGAGUCGCUAGUAAUCGCAGAUCAGCAACGCUGCGGUGAAUACGUUCCCGGGCCU
rnacentral:rRNA from 1 species